UACGGGGGGGGCAAGCGUUGUUCGGAAUUACUGGGCGUAAAGGGCGCGUAGGCGGCCUGCUAAGUCGGACGUGAAAUCCCUCGGCCCAACCGAGGAACUGCGUCCGAUACUGGUGGGCUUGAAUCCGGGAGAGGGAUGUGGAAUUCCAGGUGUAGCGGUGAAAUGCGUAGAUAUCUGGAGGAACACCGGUGGCGAAGGCGGCAUCCUGGACCGGUAUUGACGCUGAGGCGCGAAAGCUAGGGGAGCAAACGGG
rnacentral:rRNA from 1 species